AGAGUUUGAUCAUGGCUCAGAUUGAACGCUGGCGGCAGGCCUAACACAUGCAAGUCGAACGGUAACAGGAUAGCUUGCUAUCGCUGACGAGUGGCGGACGGGUGAGUAAUACUUAGGGAUCUGCCUCUGUGUGGGGGAUAACUAUUGGAAACGAUAGCUAAUACCGCAUAAUGUCUACGGACCAAAGCGGGCUUCGGCUCGUGCGCAGAGAGGAACCUAAGCGAGAUUAGCUAGUUGGUGAGGUAAAGGCUCACCAAGGCGACGAUCUCUAGCUGUUCUGAGAGGAAGAUCAGCCACACUGGAACUGAGACACGGUCCAGACUCCUACGGGAGGCAGCAGUGGGGAAUAUUGCACAAUGGGGGAAACCCUGAUGCAGCCAUGCCGCGUGUGUGAAGAAGGCCUUCGGGUUGUAAAGCACUUUCAGUUGUGAGGAAAGUUUAGUAGUUAAUACCUGCUAGAUGUGACGUUAGCAACAGAAGAAGCACCGGCUAACUCCGUGCCAGCAGCCGCGGUAAUACGGAGGGUGCGAGCGUUAAUCGGAAUUACUGGGCGUAAAGCGCACGCAGGCGGUCUGUUAAGCUAGAUGUGAAAGCCCCGCGCUCAACGUGGGAGGGUCAUUUAGAACUGGCAGACUAGAGUCUUGGAGAGGGGAGUGGAAUUCCAGGUGUAGCGGUGAAAUGCGUAGAGAUCUGGAGGAACAUCAAUGGCGAAGGCAACUCCCUGGCCAAAGACUGACGCUCAUGUGCGAAAGUGUGGGUAGCGAACAGGAUUAGAUACCCUGGUAGUCCACACCGUAAACGCUGUCUACUAGCUGUUUGUGAAUUUAAUUCGUGAGUAGCGAAGCUAACGCGAUAAGUAGACCGCCUGGGGAGUACGGCCGCAAGGUUAAAACUCAAAUGAAUUGACGGGGGCCCGCACAAGCGGUGGAGCAUGUGGUUUAAUUCGAUGCAACGCGAAGAACCUUACCUACUCUUGACAUACUAGAAACUUUUCAGAGAUGAAUUGGUGCCUUCGGGAAUCUAGAUACAGGUGCUGCAUGGCUGUCGUCAGCUCGUGUCGUGAGAUGUUGGGUUAAGUCCC
rnacentral:rRNA from 1 species